GUUUGACACCAGCAGCAGCAGGAGGGACCCUGCUUAAAUAAGAACGCGAGCCACUCUGAGAUGAUCUAUUCCACGGAGGUUUUCAAAGAUGCCAUAGUAUCCAAGUGUUAAAAUUGUGGUGGAUCCCAGAAGCGUGCAGACGUGAGUAUUGCUUCUCAGUUUUUACUCUGGGUACUGGAGCCUCUUCUGUUUCCUGGUCCAUCCAGUCCCCAACUUUCACUCCUCAGCAUCCUCUGGUUCUGCACCAGCCUUUGUAUUUUAGCUUUCCCCUUUGUCUCCUCUUAUUCUUUUGAUGAGACUAAAGAGUCUGUUGAUGGUUUACUUUUCAGGCCCUUUUGUACUUUGAUUUUCCUGAUACUCAUUAGUGUAGUUGGUCUCAGAUCUGCCUCUGCUCCUGAAUUUCAGUAUCUACGUAAACCCUGCUCAACUGCUGUUAUUCAUCGAAAUUUUGGCUUUCAACUUCAUUGUACUUUUUAUGGACUUAGUUUUCUUUCUGGGCAGUUUCUGGUAUACACACUAAGCUUGUUCCUCACACCUGGCUUGUUCUUGGCUUCUCAAGUAACUUUGAGAACUUUGCUUUGUCUUUUAAGCUAUGCCAUCCCUCAUUAUGAUCCCACUGCUGACUCUAAUUACAUUUUCUGUCUUUGUCUUUAUCGCCAUAACUUCAAUACCAUGUGCCUCUAUUUCGGUAUUAGUUUUUGGUAUUUGGUAUUAACCUAAUAAGCGACAUAAUUAAAAGUAAUAAAAAACAGCAGUCAUCAAACAUACCCUCUGGAAUGAUCUCAUCCAUGUGCUACCAUUUUUUCAUGAUUAAGUACCCAUCUAUAUUAUUGAUGUCUCUUGCUUAUUAUCCCUGAUUAUAUUGUGUCUGGAACUGGUGGGUUCUUGGUCUCGCUGACUUCAAGAAUGAAACCGCGGACCCUCGCGGUGAGUCUUACAGUUCUCAAAGAAGGUGUGUCUGGGGUUUGUUCCUUCAGAUGUUCAGAUGUGUCCAGAGUUCCUUUCUUCUGGUGGAUUCGUGGUCUCCCUGACUUCAGGAGUGAAGCUGCAGAUCUUCACAAGACGGAGUUCUCACUAUGUUUUCCAUGCUGAGUGUGAGCUCCUGGCCUCAAGAAUUCCUCCCACUUCUGCCUCCUAAAGUGCUGGGAUAACAGGUGAGAACCACUGUGCUUGGCCUGUUGUUUCUUUCUAAAAUUCAGUGUAGAUGUCUAAAAGGCAAGAGACAAUAAUGUACAUUUAAAAUCAAUAUUUUCAGUUAUAAAAUUGGAGGAUUAAAAAUCCCCUUACAAUUUUGAAAUAGUGCACUUGAAUUUUUCAUUAUUUUAUACCUUCCCUUUUAACCCGUUUCUCUAUCUGAAAAUGCUUCUUUAUUUGGUAGGUCUGUUUGGUUGUAAAAUAUAAUUCUAGGGUUUUAAACAUAUGUCCUUAUUUUCUGGAAGCGAAGUCCAAGAAAUGCCUGCAUAACUGAGCAGUUUUAGAAGUAUAGGAAUGGCAUGUCAAAAACAUGGAGACGUGUGAGUAAGCUUUGUCCAGAGAGCCGCUGAAAGUUCAAAGUUCCUUUUAGCCCAUUUUGCCUGGAGCAUGGGGUAUGUGGUUGGGGUGUAUAAAAUAAUUUAGGGUUAGAUUAAGAAGGGACUGAUGUGACACGUUGAUGACUUUGAGUUAUUUUCUUAAAGAAUGGUAAACUUUUAAGGAGGUUGGAAGUGAGGAAAAUUUUUAGGAGUAAUAUGAAAGCAACGUUUUUUUCCCCUAGAAAAGCACAGACUAACAUAGUUACAGACUAUGAGUUUUUCUGUUAAAAACCGGACAUCUCAACUAUCAUUGCCUUAGGUGUAACUACGUUUCUGCUAAAAUAAAAAAGAAGAAAACUGUGUAUAGUUCCUCUUGCAUGUCAAUUAUUCAUUUUAAAGGUGAUGUAUAGUUUUUCUUGCAUGUCAGUUAUUCAUUUUAAAGGUGAAGCAGCUGCUUUAAGUGUACAUUUAUAAGAGUGUUUCACUGAAGCAGGAUUUUGUCUGCUUGGAUAAUCUUCCUUCUUUCAGAGAUCUUCAUUGCUUUUCCUUUAUGAGAGCUCAAAAGAGUAUUGGGUAUUGAGAAGACUGAGAAAAGACAGGUUUAAAACAAGCUCUGACGUAGUCUGAAAGUGUAAUGCAACCUAAAGAAAGGCAAACCAAGGGAGAGAAGACAGGGGGCUCUUGCGAAGUCCAGGCAUGGCGGCUCAUGAUGUGGAUAGAUACAAAAGAUGUGUUGGUAGAAUUGCCAGAUUUGGGUGAUUGUAAGGGAAAGGAAGAAAAAAAUUUAGUAGAGUUUGUGAUUUGGGCAAUGAACUAUAUGGUGAGACAGGAACACUAGACAGGUCAGAGAGAGGCGAGGUAGAGUGCUUUGCAAGUUCUCGCGUAUCUGUUUCCAGACUAAAGAGUUUGAAGCAUUUUCAAGAGAGAAAGAUCUCCAUACUUAUCAAAAUUACAGGUUCAUCAAGAGCUAUGAUUCCUGCUUCCUGUUAAAGCUGCCUAAUGUGAUUUUUAGCGUAGCUGCAAACAGAUGAGCUUCCCCUUUGAUUUGGGCAGGGUAAAACAACCCAGGAGAAUACUUGUGUUUUUUGUAUGUCUUUAUUUAUUGGUACUAUUGCUUUGGUAGCUCAAUACCAUUAAGUUAAUAUAUGUAGUGUUAUUUAAGAGGAGAUGUAUUACCCAAAAGAUAAAUUCAAAUCUGUAUAACAACAGACUGAUAUAUCGUAUCUUUUAGUAAAGGAAGUAAUUGUGUGUCUAAUUCUGCCUUUGCUAUACAGGAAAAUAGCUUUUCCUUGCCAUAAGAAAUAUUUGUUUGAAGAAGGUUGAAGACAUAUAUUUAUGUAUAUAGUUGGUUGUUUGAGUGAUACAAAAAAUGAAGUUAGUAAAUAUCCGUUACGUCUUCUACCAGAAAUUUGACAUUCAUCGUAAAUUGGGCAAUGCUAUUUUACAUUAUUACUGAAAUGAAAUGAAACAUGUAAAAUGAAUGAGUUAUAUUUUAUAAGGUAAGACUACUUUGUGGGUGAUGUAUUUGUAAUGGUAUUUUAUUAUAUGUUUCCUGAUGUGAGGGAAAUAUACAUUGUGACAUGGUGUUCUGAGGUGAUUUAGAUUUCUACGGGACAAAUGAACUGGGAUUUUUGACUGAGAUGAAUACAUCAAAUUGUUUGGUUUAACAUUUGAUGUUGCUUUACAUGUAGACUUCAUAAUAGAGUUUUGAAUAUAUAGAAGGAUAUUCAUUCAAUAAACUACAGUUAGAAAAUCAUUUUAAAUAUUUAAUGAUUUAAUUCAGUUUUAUUAGUGUGACACUCUUUGCAUUGCCAAUUAAAAAUUGACAAGGGUCUCAUCUGUUUUUUCCCUUUUUGGACAGUAUUAUUUUAGAUUUGUUUGUUCUUAUUUUUAUAAACAGUGAUAAAUACUAAUUUCUUAAAUUGUUUUUCCACAUCCAAUGAAAUUACCGAGAAGAAAAACAGUAAGAAAUUUGAAGCAUUGAAAACAACAGGGCCGGGUGUGGUGGCUCACGCCUGUAAUCCCAGCACUUUGGGAGGCCCAGGCGGGUGGAUCACGAGGUCAGGAGAUCGAGACCAUCCUGGCUAACGCGGUGAAACCCCGUCUCUACUAAAAAUACAAAAAAUUAGCCACGCUUAGUGGCGGGCACGUGUAGUCCCAGCUACUUGGGAGGCUGAGGCAGGAGAAUGGCGUGAACCUGGGAGGCAGAGAUUGCAGUGAGCAGAGAUGGCGUCACUGCACUCCAGCCUGGGCAACUGAGCGAGACUCCAUCUCAAAAACAACAACAACAACAACAACAACAACAGGAUUUGCCUAUUAUGUUACUCUGUUGAUUCAGAUUCUGUUACUGUUACUUUAUGAUCAUGUCUGUAGAGAAAUCUGAUUUGCUUUACUCUCUCUAUGGUACCAGGCUUUGCCAGAAUACUGAAACUGUUUCACGUCCUAGGACUCAGGCUAGGACACAAUGACGCUCUCAAUUGCACUGAACCUUGGGGCAAAGAAGAGAGUGAGGCAAGAUAGUGGUCAAGCCAACAGUGAGGAAGAAUGAAGAGCGAAUUGCAUGAACAACACCACUCCCCGCAAUGUGUUCACUGUGAGGAGUUUGUGAGAAGGGAAGGAACCUCAGGUUUAUACUUCAGGAUUAUAUAGGUAUUCCUAGGGUACUGGUUAUAGAAAUACCAUAGAAAUCAGAGAGAGACUUUGGCCAUAUGGGUCACUGUGGUGAUUCAUAUUCACAUUCUGUCUAUAUUUAUUGAUAUAAGAAUCUAUGCCCAUGUAGCUCUGGACAAUUUGAUGGCUUGAGAAAUUUUACUGACAAGAUGAGGGAAGAGGAAGAGAGUAUAUAGAUUGUAAUAUUUACCCAAUGGGCAGCAGUUGGCCCUGGGUAGCAAAAGAUAUAGUUCUCUAGAGUCUCCUAGCUUAUUCAACCUGCCCACAGGCUGCAUGCGGCCAAGGAUGGCUUUGAAGGUGGCUCAACACAAAUUCAUAAACUUUGUUAAAACAUUAUAUAAGAUUUAUUUGUGAGUAUUAUUUUUUAGCUAAUUAGUUAUUGUUAGUGCUAGUGUAUGUUAUGUGUGGCCCAAGACAAUUCUUCUUCCAGUGUGGCCCAGGGAAGCCAAAAGAUUGGACACCCCUGCUCUAGACUCUCCUGAUGAACCCCCUGCCCUAUGCCCACUGGUAAUCAACCAUAAAAGUUACCUUUAAAUAUGCUUCUGAAGAAAACAUAAUAUAUGUUUUAGAGAUAAUAGAUGUAGAUCAUUGUUAGCCAUCUUCUUUAAUUUUGGAAAAACAAAUUUAAUUCACCAAAAUUCACCCCUACUUCUGUGAAACUGUUCAAGACUUAGCACCACAGGCUACAGGAAAGUAGGAAGUUAUGCUGAAAAAUGCCUUGGAUUUUCUCUAUACUGUUGAAAGUUGGAAAGUUAUUACCAAAGGUGAGAACUGAGCUUCUCAUUAUGGUAGUCACAUGCAGAUAUUUAAAUUUAAGUAUAAAUUCAUUAAAAUUAAAUAAAUAAAAAUGUAGUUCCUUCCAUAGUCCUGUGUGGUUCAUGGCUGCCAUGUUGGAUUGUCAGAAAUGUUUCCAUCAUCGCAGAAAGUUCUAUUGGGCAGGAUUGGAUUUGAAAUUAUGUGAUCAUGUUGCCUAGAAAACAGCAUUCUUACCUAGGGUACUACGAGGCACAGUGACAAGCAAAAGCCAACAUUUCAGUUCUGAUGAGCAUUGCUCAUUCAUUAACCUUCUAAUGUAGAUGUUUCCGGUUCUCAAGUACCUUUUCUCCUUGUGGUGAAGGUCCAGGCUCCUUCCAUCCUGUGAUUCUGCUAUGUCCUACCUCCCUGGAGUUCUGCUACCAGCUGCUGGAAGGGAAAAGAAAGGGCACUGGCUUCUUAACUAUCUUGGCCUGAAAGUGAUAAAAUCAUUUCCUUGUAAUCUAUUGGUGAGAACAAGUUUUACAGCCCAUCCAGAUGUGAGGCUUUCCGGUAGCAACUCUAUCUUACGAUAGAAGUCGUUGAGAAACCACCACAGACAGUUUCUCAGUAGUUGAGAAACCGUGCAAAAUAAAUGUGAAAUUUUUAUGGAAAAGUAACUAAUG